UCUUCCUUUUUCUUUCUUUCUCUCUCUUUCUCGUGCUAUCUCGUUCUUUUCCUUCCCUUAUUUCUUCCCCCCAAACGGCAAACCCAUCCCUUAGAACCCUAGCCCCCAAAUUCACGGCAACAACAAAGGAGUCGGCAACGAGGACACCGACGACGACGAGUGCGGCUUCGUUCAAUUACUUGGAGUUGUUCUUCGGUUUGAGAGGAUAGCAACAAGAACAACUUCGUUACGUGGACUUUGUCACUUUUGAACAAACAUUGGUUUAGAAAGAUUUUUGAAUUUUGAUAAAUGUAACCAAUUUAUUUUUGUUUAAAUAAUUUAUUGACAACUUUAAUCUUUAUAUAUUGUGGUUUCUAUUUGGUUUCA